rnacentral:rRNA from 1 species
GACGAACGCUGGCGGCGUGCUUAACACAUGCAGGUCGAACGGAAAGGCCCCUUUGGGGGUCCUCGUGUGGCGGACGGGUGCGUAACACGUGCGUAACCUUCCCUUGACUUCGGGAUAACUUCAGGAAACUGGGGCUAAUACCGGAUAGGAAUCCUUGCUGCAUGGUGGGGGUUGGAAAGCUUCGGCGGUUUUGGAUGGACUCGCGGCUUAUCAGCUUGUUGGUGGGGUAGUGGCUUACCAAGGCUUUGACGGGUAGCCGGCCUGGGAGGGCGACCGGCCACAUUGGGACUGGGAUACGGCCCAGACUCCGACGGGAGGCAGCAGUGGGGAAGAUUGCACAAGGGGCGGAGGCCUGAUGCAGAAACGCCGCGUGCGGGAUGACGGCCUUCGGGUUGUAAUCCGCUUUCAGCAGGGGCGAAGCUUGUGGUGACGGUACCUGCAGAAGAAGCACCGGCUAACUACGUG